CGGUACUGAGGAGCUGAGCCGAUAGACUCCCUAUGGAGAAAGAGACGCCGAGUCAUUCAGCAUUUAUCUGAAUUUCAGCCUUUAUUCUGGACCCUGGGAAUAUAGAUGUGAACAAAACAAACAAAAAUCCUGCCUUCAUGGACCUUACAUCCUUGUGAGGGGAGACAGAUGAUGAACAAGUUGCUUGUGAGCCCUAUGGAGAUAGGGUCAGGGGAGACGGAAAGAGACUAUAAGAGGAGUAAGCGACCCAAUGGAAAAGUCAUUGCUAGAGAAAUUAAAGAAGACCUAGAAAAAUGAAGAGAUAUAUUGUGUUCAUGGAUCAGAUGGCUCAAUACUGUUAAGAUAUAUUUCUCCCCAAAAUGAUCUAUAAACUCAAUCAUAAUGUCAGGAGGCUUUUUUGCAAAAGUUGACAAACUGAUUGUAAAAUGCAAAGGACCUAGAAGAGCCAAAACAAUUGUGAAGAGGAAGAACGAAGUCAGAAGACUUACACUACCUACUUUCAAGAUUUACUACAAAGCUACAGAAAUCAAGACAGCGUGAUAUUGGGAAAAGGACAGACACACAGAUGAGCGGAACAGAAGAGAAUCCAAAUAGACCUACACAUAUAUGGUCAGUUGAUUCUCAACAAAGCUGCCAAGAAACCCAACUAAAACAAUAACAGAGAAAUAGAAAAGAUGCAAGCACAAAACAGAAGAGAGAAUAAAUUGGAGGUCAUCAGCAGACGAGUGAUUUCAACAAGUUUCUGGAAAGCACAAAGUACAUGAAAAGGUGUCAAAAGAUGAAAUGGAAGAAGCUAUCAUCUUUAGCAUUUCUAGAGGCGGCUUCAAAGACCAGAAGGAAGAGCUAGACAGCAAAACUAGAGAGGCCAACCUUCGAGACAUCAGUGAAACCUGGAUAACAGGAUGUUGAAUAGGCUUUUCCUGCUACCCCACAAUUUUACCUACAGUCCCAAAGCAGAGGACUCGGAGAUUACCCACAGAGCUUACUAAAAAGUAGACAAACUGUCCUUCAAUGCUUAUCUCCAGCCAGCCAACAGAAGCCAAAAACUGAAGUUUAUUAUGGAGAGAUCUAUAAAGGGAGACAGGAAGUUUGGAGUUCUGGCAGCCAUCCUGGACCAUAACAUGAAGUGCUUAAAGACGGCAGCAUAGAAAUAUACAAGAAGCCCAGAUCCUUGAUGAUCAUGGAGCCACCAUGGACUGCUUACCCCUGGACUUCAUUUACAUGAAAGAAAAUAAAACCUUAUGUGUUUAAACCACCUUAUGGUUUUUGCUUACUUGUUUGUUUUGCUUUUUUAUUUUGGAAUCAUAUCAGACAUGGGAAAGUUGCAAAGAUAAUAUAAGAUAUUAAUUAAGAUAUUAUCUUAAUUGAUUAAGAUAAUAAGUUCCCAUAUACUCCCAUCCAGCUUCUCCUAAGGUUAACAUCUUACAUUACUGUGGUCAUUUCUCAAGAUUCGGAAACCAACAUUACUGUUACCAUGGAUUUCUCCAGCUUUUCCACUAACGUCCUUUCUUCAUCCCAGGAUCCCAUCCAGGAUGCCACACUGCAUUUAGUCACCGUGUCUCCUCAGUCGUCUCUAACCAGCGACUUUCUCAGUCUUUCCUCUGGCUUUUUAUAACCUUGACCCCUUGAAGAAUACUGGUCAGCCAUUUUGUAGAAUGUCCCUGCAUUGGAUUUUGUCUGAUGUUUUCUCAUGAUAGACUGGAUUUAAGAGUUUGGGGGAAGAAUAUCACAGAAGUGAAGCGCCAUUCUCACUGCAUCAUAUCAGGAGUAUGUGAUGUCACCAUGAUGUACCACUGGUGAUGUUAGCCUUGAUCACCUGCUUAAGGGGGUGUCAGCCAGGCUUCUUCACUGGUAAAGCUGUUAUUUCCCCACACUCAGCUGUUUGAAAGUGAGUCACCACGUCCAGCCCACACUCAAGGAGAGAAAAAUUAAGUUCCACCUCCUAGCAGGAGAGAUAUCUACAUAUAUUGUUUGGAAUUAUUCUGUAUGGAAGAUUUCUUUCUCUCUCCUAUUUAGUCAUUCAAUCAUUUGUUUACAUCUGUAUAGGCUGAUGGAUAUUUAUCUUCUUUGAGUUAUAAUCUAAUACUAGCAUUAUUUAUUUUCUUGCUCAAAUUGUUCCAGAUUUGGCCAUUGGGAGCUUUCAGAUUGCCUCCUAGGUCCUUUGGACAUGUCCCCAUCUUUUCUUUCUUUUUAAAGAUUGGCACCUGAGCUAACAUCUGCUGCCAAUUUUCUUCUUUUUUUUCUUUUUCUCCUCCCCAAAGGCCCCCAGUAUACAGUUGUAUGUUCUAGUUGUAGGACCUUCUGGUUGUGGCAUGUGGGACACCACCUCAGCAUGGCUUGAUGAGCAGUGCCAUGUCUGCACCCAGGAUCCGAAACUACGAAAAGCCAGGCCUCGAAAGCAGGGCACACGAACUCAACCACUCCGCCACGGGGCCGGCCCCCUCAUCCAUUUUGUGUUUUUAGUUUUGUUUGGAGGCCAUUUCUUUGUUAUUACAAGAUGCUCCAGGCUCAUCUUGCAUCUUCCCUGCCCCAAUCCUGGAAUCAGCCAUUUUUUCAAGGAGUCCUAGUUCCUUUUAUUGGCGAGUGGUAUUUAGAAACUAAGAUGUGGGCUUAGAGUAUGCUCAUUGCUACUGGGUGUCACUCUUCCAUGCCCUCUCAGCAGACAGAGCUGGGAAACACGUGUAUGCUUACCACCUUAUGUUAUUACACCAGCUUAUGGGCUUUUCUCUUAUAUUGCCAAAGCCUGAGCAUUCUUGGGAAAGUGUAACGCACGUCCCCUAGAGUCUGAGGUCUGUCUGCAAACAGACGCUGAUGUGUGCUUCCCAUCCAGAGAAUGCUGAAAGUGGUGGGGGGGUUGGGGAGGCAGGAAACAGGAGGGUUGGUUGGAGUUUCCGGGAUGGGAGAGAAGAGAAAGCAGCCACGAGGUAGCCUCCUCUCUCGCCGUCUGAAGUGACGAAGAUGUGUAAGCUUUCCCAUGGGCCAGUGGUGCUGAGGAAAGUGUCAGGGCUUCAGCCAUCCUGAAUGUUCUCUGCGCAAGAAGGCAGCCGGCUGGGGAAAAGGGACUCCAGCAGCGAGAUUUUGGUGGCAUGUGCUACUGGGGUAGGUUUGCUAGAUAAAAUACAGGUGUCCCAGUCAAAGCAGAAUUUCAGAUAAACAACAAAUAAAUUUUUGGUACAAGAAUGUCUCAUGCAAAUAUUAUCUGAAGUUCUAACUGGACUAGAGUCUUGUAUUUUUACUUGCUAAGUCUGGCAACCCCACACUAGGGGCAGGAGUCGAAAUAGGGAUUGCAAGGGCUUGGCCAGAGGAAGCAUCAUCACAUUAAAGCAGCACAAACCUCGAGCUCUGAAAUAAUCUCUGCACCUGCUCCCAACAAGGCCUGUCAUACAAAGGGCAUCGUCAGCCAAGAGCAAUCUCUAAAGAGCAGCAAGGCCAAUAAACCCCACGCACCUAGUUAUCCUUCAGAAGGCAGCUCAAAGGCCACGUCCCCUGUGAACUUUCUUUAUCUCUGUCCCAAGCCAAACAAACAGGCCCUCAGCUGUGUUCUCCCAAGUCCCGUGUCCCUGCUCCCGUGCAGGCCCCAGCAAGCGAAAAAAGAUCAGGCGUUGUUGACGGAUCGUUGAGGUUCUCCGAGCUGUGUGUGUGCAGAGCUCUCACUAUGGCCAUCUUUGCAGCCUCAGUGUCCACUGUAGGCCCAGACAGGAUCCACAGAGGCUCUACAAACAUUUGUUCAAUGAACGAGUGAAUAAAUGAAGGAUCGCUCCCGUUUUACAGAUGGAGCAAUCAAGGCCCAGAGAAAUUCAACUCGAUUCAAUUCAAUCCCACACACUUUCUUUUUUUUUUUUGAAGUUCUACCAUGAACAAGGAAAAUGAACGAAGCUUCAGAAGCUGGAACAGAAGAUCUUGAUGCUCAGUGAUUGGCAGAGACGUCUGCUGUGAGGGACACUGAACACUGCCCUUCCUAGCCUAGGGCCAACAUGGCAUCAAGGGAGGCAGGGUUCCCUCCUCCACCCAGCUGCUGCCCUUUGAGGGGGUGGAAAGAGCCUUGGACAGAAGUCAAAACCUCCAGGUUGCAUCCUGACUCUGACCCCGGGCAAAUCACUCUGCCUCUGUUUUCUCCUCUGUAAACUGCCAGGGACGAUCCAAGCUAAGCGACCUCUAAAGUGCUUUGAGCUUGUUUCUCUGUUCACUCAUCAACCAGCAUCUGGCAAACCCCUUCUGUAUGGAUCUCUGGGGAGACAAAACAAGAGAUAGUCAGUGCCCUUAGAGAACUCACAGCCUGCUGGGAAGACACAGAAGUAAAAUUAAAUAGUCUGAAGUGUGGCUAGCACUAUGCUAAGAGAAGCAAUGGCCACCAUUUAUUUUACAUGCACACUCACGAUGUACCAGCCACAAUCCCAAUUCCCACUGCCACCUUGUGAGUGGGCGUCAUUUUAAUCCACAUUUAGGGAGGUGAAAUGACUUGAUCAAGGUCACUUAGCUAGUAAAUGCUAGAGCUGCCACUGAAACUCAAGUUUGUCUGACUUUGGGGCCAGCCCAGUGGCAAAGUGGCUAAGUUCAUGUGUUCUGCUUCGGUGGCCCAGGGUUUGCAGAUUCAGAUCCCAGGCAUGGACCUAGCACCACUCAUCAAGCCACACUGUGGUGGUGUCCCACAUAAAAUAGAGGAGAUUGGCACAGAUGUUAGCUCAGCAACAGUCUUCCUCAAGCAAAAAGAAGAAGAUUGGCAACAGACGUUAGCUCAGGGCCAAUCUUCCUCACCAAAAAAAAAUAAAAGUUUGUCUGACUCAAAAACUAGCACUCAUAACCACUCAGCUACACUGCUUCUCUGAGAGAAGUAUGUGAAAAAAUCAUGGACAGUCAAAGGAGGGCACAGGGAAAGCUUCUUAAGACCUUCCUAACUAGGACACAAAAUCCAGGAACCAUAAAAAUAACUUAAAUAAUAACAAAUAUCAGACAUAGAAUUUACUAUGUCCUAUAUAGAGCAUGGUUAUGAACACUUCAAAUAUCUUUAUUUCAUCCACAAAAACCUUAUGAGGUUGGUACUAUUGUCCCCAUUUUAUAGAUGAGGAAAAUGAAGCACAAAGAAGCUAAUUUCCCAAGUCACACAGCCUAUUGGCAGAGCUGGACUCUGAACCUGGAGAGCCUGGCCCCAGAGCCUGUGCUCUGAUCCAUUACGCUCUACCAUCAGAGUCAAACGUCAAUGACAAAUUGGAAGAAAAAGAAAUUUGGAACAUAUCACAAAGGGCUAAUCUCCCCAAUAUAUUAAGAGCUCCCCCUAAGAAAAAAACCAACAACCCAAGAGAAAAACAGGCAAAGCAUAUGAAUAGAUCAGUAAAAUUAAACACGUAACCAAAAAAUGCAGACUUUAACCCUACUGAGAUACCAUUUCUCACCUACAGAUUGGCAAAAACCCAAAAGUUUGACAAAACACACUCUGUGAGGCUUUGGGGAAACAGCCUGAUGUAGACGGUGGGGGGAAUGCAAAUCAGUACAAGAUCCAUGCAGGGCAAUUUAAAAUGACAAAUCCAUACACCCAGCUAUUCCACAUCUAGAAAUUCCUCUACAGAUAACUCACACACGCAAAAUGUAAGACUAGCCAUUGCAACCUUCUUUGUGACAGCAAAGUCCUGGAAACAACCUAAAUGCCCAUUAAUAGGGACUAGUUGAAUGCAUUUGGCACAUCCAUCUAAUGCAGUACUUUGCACUGGAAAAGAUUGAGGAAGCACUUUAUGGAUUGAAAUGACACAAUUUCAAGAUAUAUUAAGGAAAAAAAGGAAGGUGCAGAGCAGAGUAUAUAUUAUUCUUUUGUGUGUAUUAUAUAUAUUCUUUUGCAUAAAAAGAAAAAAUACAUUUUGCAUUUUGUAAGUAGACAUAAAAAAUACCUUCGGGGCAAGAUCAGAAGUGGGUAGAUGAGGGGCAAGGAUAGGAAGGAGAAUUUCUCCAUAUCCUUUUUGUAUUUUUUGAGACUUGAACCACAUAUUUUAAAAAUUUAACAAAGAAUUAGGGGCCCGCCCGGUGGCACAGCGGUUAAGUUCGCACAUUCCGCUUCAGCGGCCCAGGGUUCGCCGGUUCGGAUCCCAGGUGUGGACAUGGCACCGGUUGGCAUGCCAUGCUGUGGUAGGCGUCCCACAUAUAAAAGGAGAGGAAAAUGGGCACGAUGCUAGCUCAGGGCCAGCCUUCCUCAGCGAAAAGAGGAGGAUUGGCAGCAGUUAGCUCAGGGCUAAUCUUCCUCAAAAAAAAAAGAAAAGCUUUUAGAGAAGGGGUCAUUUUAGGACUCUCUGGCUCCAUAUGACAACUUAAUGGUCCUGUAAUGAGAUAAACUCUUCAUGAACCCAUCAGGGCGAGGAAAGCAAAGGGAUGGAUAUCAGAGACGCCUGUGGGCGCAAGGAGACUCUUUCAUUCAGACUCAUACAGUUCCCAUGGCCUUUCCCCAUUAUGCUCCUGAGGCUCAUUCAAAGCGAAGACUCAAGCACCAGCGACAUCUGGUAACAUGGGUAACCUGGGCAACCGGGCUUCUCUCAUGGUUGUCAUAGCAACCAUGAGGUUCCUACAGUUGGGUUUUCAUUGUGAAGUAAUUAUCAGGCCUUGUGGUGGGCUCCUCCACAUUUGCAGUUACCUACAUCAAUGACGAUUAUGAAUGAGCCUAAAUUAGAUGCAAUUUCAAUUGAACUGUUAAGAGAGGCUGUGAACUGAGUCAGAUUUACAUAUCCUUCCAUCAAGACAGGCAAACCUUUUGAACUGUAUGCCUUGUGCAACUCCGGGAUGGGGUGUCACUUGCACUGCAGCCAUCAAAGGCCCCUGGAUGGCCAAAGACCCACAGUGUUCCAACUCAAGAUGGGCAGGCCCUUCUCUAUCCUCCUUCCCUACCCCCCCC
ensembl:lncRNA